rnacentral:ncRNA from 2 species
GAUAAUCGGAGACGUCGAGGUUCUCUGGGUCCCGCUUGACCCGGAGCUAAGAGGGAAGCCGGUGCGCUCCCGGUCCAGUUGGACUGACGCAAUGCCGGCGCUGCCCCCGCAACUGUAAGCGGCGAGCCCGCAUCCAAUCGUGUCACUGAAGCGAAAGCUUCGGGAAGGCCCGGAUGCAGGCGACGACCCGCGAGCCAGGAGACCUGCCCCGACAACAUAAUCGUC